rnacentral:rRNA from 1 species
UACAGAGGUCCCGAGCGUUGUUCGGAUUCAUUGGGCGUAAAGGGCGCGUAGGCGGCUAGAUGUGUCAAAGGUGAAAUCCCUCGGCUCAACUGAGGAACUGCCUUUGAAACUGUCUGGCUUGAGGCCGGGAGAGGGUAGCGGAAUUCCCAGUGUAGCGGUGAAAUGCGUAGAUAUUGGGAGGAACACCAGUGGCGAAGGCGGCUACCUGGACCGGUUCUGACGCUGAGGCGCGAAAGCGUGGGUAGCAAACAGG